UGGAAAUAAGUUUGUAAGUCACUCUGGAUAAAAGCGUCUGCUAAAUGACGUAAA
rfam:Salmo salar isolate Sally breed double haploid chromosome ssa10, whole genome shotgun sequence.